rnacentral:rRNA from 1 species
GACGUAGGGCGCGAGCGUUGUCCGGAUUUAUUGGGCGUAAAGAGCUCGUAGGCGGCUCGUUGCGUCGGCUGUGAAAACCCGCAGCUCAACUGUGGGCUUGCAGCUGAUACGGGCGGGCUGGAGUUCGGUAGGGGAGACUGGAAUUCAUGGUGUAGCAGUGAAAUGCGUAGAGAUCAUGAGGAAGACCAGUGGCGAAGGCGGGUCUCUGGACAGUUCCUGACACUGAGACACGAAGGCCAGGGGAGCAAACGGG